GCAUUUGUUGGUAUGUAACUAACAGCCAUGGAGGAGGGUGAAAGGAUAUCCGCUCCAACUGUAAAAGAAGGGAGCGAGUAGGAUAUUCUGGAUAGUUGUGUAGUACCAAACUGCAAGUGACUGGAGAUUCCUUCAAAACGAUUGCCUAAAGUUACAGUGUAGGGCACUGCACAGUUGGGUGACCAGGGCCAUCUGGGACUGCUUCGUGGGGGAAAUCAGGCGUGUGUGAAGGCUACCUGUGUCCUACAUAACUUUAUGAGGAUGGACAUGAGGACCAGGAGGGGAUCUGCAGCUCGCCGCAAUUGUGCCAGAGGAGAGGUCUGCUGCUCUGCGGGAUGUUUCAAGGAUGGGGGCUAACAAUGCAGCACAGGAGGCAAUCUGUGUGCGGGAGAUCUUCACCUCAUACUUUUUCAAAUAGGGUGCUGUUCCCUGGCAACACCAUAGACUACACUAUGUACAACCAAAGGCUCUUUUAAGAGCCAUUCACAUUGCAAUAAGAGUAUUCCUUCAUUUACUUAGCUAUGUCAACUGCAGUUAUUCAAUUCCCAGUUUCUCUCCCAUUCAUUUCUACUUCUCAGGUGAAGGUGCUGUUUUGGUAAGAGUGAUGUCUGUACAAAAACAAAACAGGCUAUUUUAAGAGUCACCCAUAUUGAAAAGAUUUAGAACAAUUAGACACCCUAUAUGUGUAUCAAUCUGAUGGAUGGAUUGUGUUGUGCAGUAAGCAGGCUCAGUUGUGUAACUGUGGCUCCUUCCACCUUCAAAUAAUAGGCAAGGGGACCAACCAUGGAGAAUAGUUAGACACUUCAUUAUUUCUAUUUAUAUAACUAUGCCAUAUUGUUUGCCUCGUGUACCUGUGCAUGUUUUUCAGUAUAAAGUACUCUGCAGCCACUGAGUGUGGACACCAGGUUAUAUCAACUGUAUUGGUGAACCCCUCCCGCAUCUGAACU